UGUGCCAACGGUGUGGCAACAGACAAGCUCGUAUUUGGAACUGGGAUCGCUUUCUCAGUUGAGCCAAAGAUUCAGGAAGAAUCUGUCCCAGAAGUCAUUGUGCUUAAAUCGAAGGAGCCCAGACAACGUGACAACAAACUGAAUGUAGCUUGUUUGGCGAGGACUUUCUACCCCAAGAACAUCAGCCUUGAUGUGCCCAAGAGUGACGUUGUAUACGAUCUGAAGACACCUCUGGUCACAUCUGAGGGGACGUACAGUACCAUGAAGGUAGUUAGAGUGGAAUCGGAUGCAGAGGUUACCUGCAAGGUUCUGCACAAGGGGAACAACACCACAGCCAGCAUAAUUCUGCCAGAAGAGAAGACCGAGGAAUUUGAAACAGUUAAUGCCUGCAAAGUUACAGAUGCCUCUACAAAAGAUUCCAGAAUGGAGAAAGUGAAUAUGCUGUUCAUGGCUGUUUUGGGUUUGAGAGUCCUGCUGGCAAAAAGCAUUGCCUUCAACACCAUCAUGACUAUCAAGCUGUUCCUCUUCUGAGCUACUGGGUAAGUGAGAGAGCAAUGGGCUGAAGAAGAGAGGAAAGAACACACAGCGGCGUAAUUUGAACACCACGGGUCAGCUUUGCUACAAAUAAACAUCCAAAGAAUCAACAGCCUCCCCCAAUUCCAGCAGAUUACACCUUUAUUUCAUCACCAAGCUUCAGCAGGUGACCAGAAAAGAUGACCAGCAGGAUCAUCUUCAGCUAACACCAUCUGGAAGCCUUCUCAGACAGCUAAUGGUGCUGCACUUUUGUGUAGCUUAGUUUCAUUAAUUGUUAGAACAAGUUUUGUUAUUUCUGAUUUCCAUAAGAAAUUUCCCUCACCCCUCUGCUAGCCAGUUAGCUCUCCUACUCCUGCAUCCCUUGCACCGAAGCAUCCAAAUUGCUUAGAUAGUUUCAAAAACUUAAAAUUGAACUUUAUACUUACUACGCUUUAAAUAUACCAUCCCUGGUCAUACUGCAUUAUUGCCUACAGAAGUUAACGCUUUUCUGCUUAGGGAUCCCAGGCACAGAGGGGACAUUGUAUAGUUUUAAUUCUUAGAAUCUUUUAUUACUGGCAAUUUUCUAGUGCAUGUAACUAGAUCUCCACUGGACCUGAAGGAAUUCAAUGCAGACAGGUACACAGUAGCAUUUUCAUCUCUUCUUUAGAACAUUUUUCUCUUUUGUUAAGUAUACAGUACUUGCAUUUUAGGUUUC